rnacentral:rRNA from 1 species
UACGGAGGGUGCAAGCGUUAUCCGGAUUCACUGGGUUUAAAGGGUGCGUAGGUGGGCAGGUAAGUCAGUGGUGAAAUCUCCGGGCUUAACCCGGAAACUGCCGUUGAUACUAUCUGUCUUGAAUAUCGUGGAGGUGAGCGGAAUAUGUCAUGUAGCGGUGAAAUGCUUAGAUAUUGGGAGGAAUACCGAUGGCGAAGGCAGCUAUCUGGCUCGUAACUGACACUGAGAUUCGAAAGCGUGGGUAGCAAACAGG